GCCUGAAUAGCUCAGUCGGUAGAGCAACUGGCUGUUAACCAGUAGGUCCUUGGUUCGAGUCCAUGUUCAGGCGCCA
rnacentral:tRNA from 1 species